rnacentral:rRNA from 1 species
UACGUAGGUGGCAAGCGUUGUCCGGAUUUAUUGGGUUUAAAGGGUGCGUAGGCGGCUUUGUAAGUCAGUGGUGAAAUGUGGCAGCUCAACUGUCAAGGUGCCAUUGAUACUGCGGAGCUUGAGUACAGAUGAGGUAGGCGGAAUUGACGGUGUAGCGGUGAAAUGCUUAGAUAUCGUCAAGAACACCUAUAGCGAAGGCAGCUUACUAGGCUGUAACUGACGCUGAGGCACGAAAGUGUGGGGAUCAAACAGG